UAGCGUUCAGCCUGGCUAGCCCUACGUACGCCUACCCGGCGGCAAUGGAGUGAGUACGUACGUACGUCGUCUCAAUCUUGGCGCGGUACAGUUAGCAGGCUGUCAACUUGUGAAAGCAGGUGACCUUUGGUUGUUUGUUUGUUUGUGUGUAUAGCAAAGUGUCUGGAUCUGGAUAAUUAAGGAAUUAAGUACUGACGUUCUUCACGUAGACAUGGCUGAUCAUAUCUUGCAAUAAGAUUAAGAGAACUACUGUGUGUUACUGUGUUAGUACAGCUGCUGUCUGUGCUCUGUAAGCUGAUUGAAACCUGAACUUAUCUGCUGACAUUGGUAGUUAACUGCUACUACUUUUUGUCUGUUGCUCUAAGUGAUGUGCUGUCGGUGGUCUCGUGUUUCAGUAAGAACUGUGUGUUGGUACUGUUCGUUUAUACUGUGUUGGUAUGUUUUGUCUGUGUUUUUGCAAGUGCAAACCUGAACUUGACUGCUAAAGUUGGCUGUUAGCUACAGCCUUCAGUCUGUUUUUCAGGUGAUAUGGUAAAGAGGAAGAGAAAACUAUAUCAUCGCCCAGGUGCAUUGCGUAUUGAGUAUUGACAGUAUGAGUGUCUGUCCAUUUUGUUUCAUUUGACUGGAAUUGGAGUUAGUCCUGGUCGACUCGGUUGACUUGCUUGCAUGUCGGCCAUUCAUUUGGAGAGACCGCUAGAUCAUCCGAUUCCAACGGUAUUAUAGUAGUAGUAGGAGUUAGGUUCUUGCAAGAGAAAUGUUAAGCAAGGUAACAUGGAGUACCAUCUAACUAGAGUAGCUAGUGCGCUACGUGCAGCUUUAGAGCUAGUCCAGAUGUAAAGGCAUUGCAGUCGGCAGAAGGGUCAUCACUCAUCAGGCCAAUGCAAAAAAAGUACUGACCAGUGCAUGGGCAUGCCCUGAUAAAAAAGGGCAGUGAGAUGACGAAUCUAACCGCCCCGAAAAGAGCACAUACUGCUACCCUUUUUUCACUUUUGGAAUGGGAGAAAAAUGAGAAUAUUUCAAAGAUGCAAAGUCCCGGGAGGAGAAAAGGCCCCAGUAUAUAUGUAUCACGCACACGUACUUGUACUUCACUCCAGUGCCUUGGACGACCGACGACGACGCACCUUUUGCAUGAUGUAGUUGUAGUAGUACCGAGCAGUACUUCGUUGAACCGUUCGUGCGAUCAUUAGUUAAAAUAGAAAUUGAUGCACGUUUCAUGACAAGUUAAUCAAACGGGUUGGAAAUAUAGUACUCCCUCCAAUCCAAAAUAAGUGUCGUGGUUUUAGUUUGAAUUUUAACUAAAAUCAGACGCUUAUUUUGGACCGGAGGGAGUAUGAAAUUAUAAGGCAGCAACCAAAUCAAAGGCAGAACCCACUAGGGUUAUGCUUGGACUAAGCCCCCUUUGGGCCUACCAAAUUUUUGGUAAUGGCCAAAAUAUUAGGAAGCUUUGGUUGUUUGGAUUGUAGCCAUAGUACCUGCCAACAAUUUGGCAGAAAAGAUAGGCGUCCAUUUGGGUUGGAGCCAAAUGGCUUCCCAGACAUUCGGCAAAAUAGACCGGCCAGUAUUUGGUUUGCUUCCAAAAUUCCAUGAUGAAGCCAAUAAAACAAAACAACAGUUUCAUGUUUAUAUAUGUCAUUGGACUACAGAAUGCAAUUUGGUUUCAUUGAAAACAUUGCAGACAAGGCCAAGAUUAGCAUGUCUAACCCAUGCUUCAUACGGUCCAUGUAUUAGGUUGGAGCCAAAUGGCUUGCCAGACAUUCGGCAACGCAGACCAGCCAGUAUUUUGUUUCUUUAUCAUUGGACUACAUAAUGAAAUUUGGGUUCAGUAAAAACAUUGCAGACAAGACCCAGUUUGAAGCUUCAGAUAAGCAAAAUGUGUAUUAACAACAAAUGCUUAACACGGUCCAUGUAUGCCGGACCAUGCUUCACAUGGUCCAUGUAUUGGGGCACCAGAUAUGGGAAAACGUAAUAAAAGCCAUAAUAUGUAUUAACAAUCAAAAUUGACGCUGUAAAUGCAUACUUGCUGGGAGAUAAAUGUUACACCCCCCGUUCCAUCAUAAUAUAGUGUGUAUAGAGUUUUCAGGAAGUCAAACUUCGUAAUCUUUGACAAGUUUAUAGAGAAAACUAUUUAUAUCUACAAUAUCAAUUAUAUUAUUAUACUAUUUACAUCUACAAUGUCAAUGUCAAUUAUAUUAAAUCUGAAACUACAUCAUGAAUCAAAUGAUAUAGAUUUGGCAUUCUAAAUGUAAAAGUUAUUCACUACAAAUUUGGCCAAAAUUUGCAAGGUUUGACUUAUCAAAAAAAUCUAUAUGCACUACAUUAUGAAACGGGGGAGUAUGAAUCCGGGGCUGCGCGUACUAACAGGGAGAUAAUUACAUAUGAGAGAAAUAGCCUAGUGGGAUCUCUUGCACAACAUGGCAAAUAAGUAUGUUGUUCUUAUCUUUGUAACGUACAAAGGACCGACGCAGAAAAGGCUUCAGCCAAAUAUACAAAGAGGGAUUGCAGAACGUACCUAUAUUCAAGGACGACGUACAUCGGCCGUAGCCCGAUCGUCUCCGUGCCGAUGAACCAGCGUCCCCCUCUCGCCGCCUCUCCGUAAAUCCGCACGGAGAUGUUGUUUCGCCGGCGGCCGGGAGGAGGUUGGUUUCCCGUGGGCGGCGCAUCUGCUGCACGCACGGGCCGCAAGCGUUUGCAGUCGCGAAUCCUCUCGGCCGGAGAAGAAAUGCACGCCGCCGCUUCGUGCGGCGGCCGACCGAACAGACCAGCCCGCCCCUAACCGAGCGACUACAUGGGCUUCGAGCGAUACAGCCCGUACCGCUGUUGGUUCGAGUUUUUUUUCGAGGUCUUCGAUUUGUUUUUCGUCCGUUCGUCCAAUCAGUUCCUUUUUUUAUACUAGCAAAAGGGCCCGUGCGUUGCAACGGAAGAUUUUUUUUUCAUAAUCGUCAAUGGUCAUGACCACAUUUUGUUCCAUCAUCGAGAUACACUAGCACUCUCAAUCUCGUGAAAUCAUGAAUAAUUUUUAAAAUCAAGAACAUUUUUUAAAACUCGUGCAUAUAUUUGAAAUCAUGAACAUUUUUAAAAUUUGUGAACGCUUUUACAAUUUUCUGAAAAUUUUCUAAAAUCAAGAAUAUAUUUUUGAAUUCAUGAACAUUUUAUAUUAUUUGCAAGUAUUUUUAUUUUCUAGUUUAUUUUAUGUGCAAAUGGACGAACCAAGCGACAGAUGAAAAUCUGGUAAUAAGCGACGUACAAAAAAAGGGAGUAAGAAACGUCCGUGCCUUUAAUAGAAAAGAAAAGUACUAAUUAAGGGUGCAACAUAAAUAAUUUUAAAAAUAAUUAACAUGCAAGAUAACAUUAUAUUUAGAAUCUGCAAUUUUUUUUGGACAAUUAUGACAUGCUAAAUUUGGUGUUGGGGGUUGAACAAUAUGAAUACUUUAAAAAAUACUUGAAUUUACAAAAAAAAAAGUUAAAAAGAGAAUAAUUUGACCGUAAUACUGUAUAGACCAUCUGUUAAGCCACACUUAGCGAUGCAGCUCUAUCUUAGGCCUACUGAAAUUCGCGAAAAAAAGGAUUGGAAAAUGGGGAGGAUUCAGGUUCGAAUCCUGAUCUCCUGGAUGCUAGAGAAACGCCCAAGCCAGUAGGGUGAUUUGUUUGCUUGUGUUUUGCUAGCGCAUUUUCUUAUAUGAACCAGACACUGUCGGCGGUGACUUAAGAGAAAAAACGAAUCGUUUUUCACUUAUGGGUGACAUUGGUGGGUAAUUUUUAUCAAAUUGAAGGAUAAUAUUAAUGACGAACGACCAGAAGCGAUAGCCGCUUUAUUAGUAGGUAAAGAUGAAGAUAUAUAUAUAUAUAUAUAUAUAUAUAUAUAUAUAUAUAUAUAUAAUUAUUAUUAUUAUUAUUUCCUUUUUAAGUUUUGUUACAUUUUGAAAGCGAUAUAAAAUACAUAUAUUCCAAAAAGCUUACGUCAGUUUUGGAAAAAUGUCUGUGCAAUGCUACAAAAAUUUGGAGCAACUUUUAAAACAAAUUGAUAGCAUCUGAAUUUUUUUGUUUCAACACGUAUUUCAAACAUCUUUAACAUAUAUUUGAAAAAAAAAUGUUCAAAAACAUGUGUUUAAAGGAAUGUUAAUCGUAUAUUUGAAAAUGUUAAACAUAUAUAAAAAAGAUGUUUCAAAUGUAUACAAAAAUGUACAAUGUGUACGAAACAAGUAGGCAUCUCUUCUACCAAAAAAAGAUAUCAUAAUGUAUUUGAAAAAAUGCCAAUCAUUGUAUGUGAAAAAAAUGUUAAUAAUUUAUUCAAAAAAUGUUAAACGUGAAAAAAUAUCUCUGAUGUAUACAAAAAUUUACAACAGGUAUGAAAAUAUAGACCUCAAAACUCAAAUUUGAAAAGAAAACAUUAAUCAAGUAUUUGAAAAGUGUAAAAUAAUUGUCAGCAUAGUUCAGAAAUAUAUGGAUAUCAUUAAAAAAAUCACUGCUUUUAUUUGAUAAUUUUUUAACAUGUAUUCAAAAAAUAAUAUUCAAAAACAUGUGUUUGAAAAAUAUUAAUCAUGUAUUCAAGAAAUGUUUUACUUACAUAAAAAUGUUUUUUGUUUAUACAAAAAAUGAAGAAUUAAUAGAAAAAUGUAGACAUCAAAACGUAUAUUUGAAAAUAAUCUUAACCAUGUCUUUCAAUCAAUUUAACAUGUAUAAGAAAAUGUUUCUUGUGUAUAUGAAAAAUGUAUAAUGUGUACGAAAAAAUUGACAUCAAAACAUAUAUUUGAAGAAAUUGAUGAAAACCAAAGGAAAAAUGUAAAAAAAGAAAAAAAAUCAAAGGAAAAAGAAACACUCAGAAAAAGAAAGUAAAUAAAAAUCCAAUGAAAACAGUAAAAGAAAAACACACAAAAGAAACUGGUCCAGUCCAAUCACUGUACAACAAAUAAGAAGAAGAAAAACAAAUCUACAGCGAUGACUGAGCGAGCGAACAAAAUAAUGGGUUGGCCCAUACCAGCGGACACCGAAGGAGAGGCCAGGCCUAAUAGGACUCGGUGUGAGCGAAAUAUAGCUCUAGCGGCGCAAAUAUUGUUGUUUUCGAUAGUGAGUAAAGACGAAAUCACUAGUUAAAGAGUACUUGUUGUGUUUUCCGUAAAAAAAAAGAGUACUUGUUGUGAAGAUCACUCCAACUUCCUCAGAUUGCGACAAGUGGCGUGCUGCAUGUGUGCCACUUGUUGCAAUCGGGAAGUUUUUCCUUUUUUCGUAGAUCCUUUUAUUCAAAACGUUUUAUCUUUUAAACCGUGCGUCCAAAUCUCGUACCGCUUUUGCCGUUGGAUUCCUCGCAUCGAGAUCUUCAAAACUAGAUCCCAUGUUGAUAGGUUUUGAUAAUCUAACUUUUAACAAAACCGGACGAAAAAACCGAAUCCGAGCACGGGUUUUUUCCCUUUUCGAAAGAGGCACGCCCGUGCCUCUGACGAAAUUACAACCGUGCCUCUCACGGAAGCAAAACCGUGACUCGUGAAAAAAAAGAUAAAACACGUUUUUUCUGUUUCCGAGGAGGCACGGCCGUGACUCUCGCGAAAGCACAACCGUGCCUCUUGCGGAAGCAAAGCCGUGACUCUCGCAAAGAAAAAAAAAA
rnacentral:lncRNA from 1 species